rnacentral:rRNA from 1 species
CCCUUAGAUGUUCUGGGCCGCACGCGCGCUACACUGACUGGUGCAACAAGUGUCGCUCCUUGGCCGAUAGGCCUGGGCAAUCUUUGAACGCCAGUCGCGAUGGGGAUAGAUUCUUGCAAUUUUUGAUCUUCAACGAGGAAUUCCUAGUAAACGCGAGUCAUCAACUCGCAUUGAUUACGUCCCUGCCCUUUGUACACACCGCCCGUCGCACCUACCGAUUGAAUGGUCCGGUGAACCCUCCGGAUCGGCCCGCGCCAACGCAAGUUGAGCAAAGGCCGAGAAGUUGGGUAAACCUUACCAUUUAGAGGAAGGUGAAGUCGUAACA